CCUACGGGAGGCAGCAGUGGGGAAUUUUGGACAAUGGGCGAAAGCCUGAUCCAGCCAUGCCGCGUGCGGGAAGAAGGCCUUCGGGUUGUAAACCGCUUUUGUCAGGGAAGAAACGGUCUGAUCUAAUAAAUUGGGCUAAUGACGGUACCUGAAGAAUAAGCACCGGCUAACUACGUGCCAGCAGCCGCGGUAAUACGUAGGGUGCAAGCGUUAAUCGGAAUUACUGGGCGUAAAGCGUGCGCAGGCGGUCCUAUAAGACAGAUGUGAAAUCCCCGGGCUCAACCUGGGAACUGCAUUUGUGACUGUAGGGCUUGAGUACGGUAGAGGGGGAUGGAAUUCCGCGUGUAGCG
rnacentral:rRNA from 1 species